CACGUAGGGCGCAAGCGUUGUCCGGAAUUAUUGGGCGUAAAGAGCUCGUAGGCGGUCUGUUGCGUCCGCUGUGAAAACUCGGGGCUUAACCCCGAGCCUGCAGUGGAUACGGGCAGACUAGAGGUAGGUAGGGGAGAAUGGAAUUCCUGGUGUAGCGGUGAAAUGCGCAGAUAUCAGGAGGAACACCGGUGGCGAAGGCGGGUCUCUGGGCCAAAACUGACGCUGAGGAGCGAAAGCGUGGGGAGCGAACAGG
rnacentral:rRNA from 1 species